rnacentral:lncRNA from 1 species
AAGAGAAGAGCCGGAGGCACAAUUAAAGCGUGUUAUGUUCCAAGUCUUGUAUAUUAUUCAUUGUUGUUGGUGGCAGAGAAGACGAGAUUUGUCUUGAUGCCUGACAAGGAAGAGGAAUCUUUGGCAAAUGUUAAACGGUGCUUCAUUUUGGAAGAUCUGAUUGAGUUCAUUUUUUUAGAACAGUCUGGCAUGUAUCUCCAGUCUUUUCUAAAUCACAGUUCAGAAAGCGAUCAUCUCGCUCUGAUAGAUUGCGAGAAUUUUUGUGAAAAGUUCAAAUACCUUCGGUUACUGAACUUGGGUUAUGCAGUUCUCGACCAAUUUCCACUCGGAUUAGAAAAUUUAAUCCUUUUGAAGCAUUUGAAAUUGAAUAUCCCUUCGCUCAAAUGCCUUCCUUCGCUGCUGUGCACUAUUUUAAACCUUCAAACACUAGAAAUGCCAUCUAGCUACGUAGAUCACUCGCUGGAGGAUAUUUGGAUGAUGCAAAAACUCAUGCAUCUAAACUUUGGUUCCAUCACUCUUCCCGCACCUCCAAAAAAUUAUUCUAGCUCUCUGAAAAAUCUCAUUUUCAUAUCAGCUUUAAACCCUAGUAGUUUUACUCCUGAUAUAUUGCGCAGACUACCUAAUGUUCAAACACUUCGGAUAUCUGGAGAUUUGAGUUGCUAUCACUCUGGGGUUUCCAAUAGCCUAUUGGGACUCCACAAACUUGAAUGCUUGAAGCUGGUGAAUGAGAGCAAGCUCUCACGGGUUGUCCUGUCUAAAUACCAGUUUCCUUUAAGUCUAAGCCAUCUGAGCUUAUCAAAUACUGAGCUAAUGCAGGAUCCCAUGCCAAUUAAUAUAUCAAGACUAGUUUGAAAAUCUACUUCUACUAAUAAUAAUAUUUAAGGAGAAAUUAGCUGUCACGUGGCUGCUGUGGAGUCCUAUUCAUCAGGGUAGUUGUUGUUAUAGUCAAAAUAAAUAUUUAGUUUUUAUUUACUUGUAGAAGUGGUCCACUACGUCAGCACUUGUUGCUAUCAUUUAGCUGUGUCUUUGUUAUUUUCUGUUCAAGUCUUUAUAUAAAUUCAUAGUCCAAAGAUUAAAAAAAAAAAAAAAAAAUUCAUAGUCCAAAGAUAAAAAAAAAAAAAAAAAAAGCAACAGAUUAAUUUUCUUCAAAGUUCAUCUAGUAUUGAAGGCCGUGGUCUUCCUCAAAAUAGACCAAGUUCAGUUGUUCGUUCUUUAUUUAGUUGACUACUACAAUAGGGAAACAAAAGAAAAUGAUCCUGAAAGGGCUUGAUUUGUUAUACAUACCAAUUACAAGGUCAGUUAUGUAGGCAUGUAACAAAAUAGUAUCAGAGCAAGGCAUGUAGGAAUCAUGAUUGAAAAGCUUAGAAACCGAAGUAAGCUCCUUGCAGCUUAAUUUAUAGUCAAAUUCAAAUCUUGAACAAUGGUCAUGAACGAAAGAAUAUCAUGAAAUGUGAUAAUCCAAACGAAGGUGCGAAUGGAUAUUGGUAUUAUGGGCUCUGCUUAGACUAUUUACACAUUUAAACAAUAAUCAUCACUAUUUUCGACCACUAUAUCUUCCGAAAAUAAUUUUUGCCAAAAGUCACCAUAUUUGUGAAUUAAAUCUAUUUUAAAAAUAGAUUUAAUCACCAUCAAUUUUGUCACGGUAAGAUAAAGUAGGGAUAGCUAAUAUAUAUAUUCUUUCUAAAAGUCAUGACUUUUCUCUAAACAUUAAUCAUAUUUUUUUUGAGAAAAGUGAGUAAUAAUAAUAUCGUCAGGAGUUUAGAUAAUGCUAUAUGAUCAACUGAUUUAAAAAAAAUACAAUUGAUAUAGCAGCGUCCUAGGUCAUAUGAGGACAAACAUGUAGGAAAGUUCAUCUAGAAAAUUAGUGCAUCCGCAGUUUCAAUCAAAUUGCUAUAUUGAGCAACAAUUAAUGAAUAAAUUUGUUAUUCAACCUAUAUGUAACUAACACAAAUUUUAAUGACCUUCACAUAGCAGCAGUGGAAGUACCCAAUUUUUGAGACUUCACUGAAAUAUUUUCAUUCAAUCAAUUUACAACCAUCUUCCAUAUGCUUUCAUAUUUUAAAAUGUUAAAUGUUAAUCUCACUAUCAACACCACAAAAAAUAUAUCAUUUUUAAUGAAGACAAUUAGGUUAUCAUUUCUAAUAGAGCAUCUUGAGCAGUUAGCUUAAAAAAAUUAAGCAAACUAUUGUAUGAUUUUUAAGAUAUUUUAAGUAAUUUUAUCAACUAUAAAAUCAUCACCUAGUUCAUUAUAAGUGACACAACAUUGGUCAAUGACACAUAACAUUGGAAUUUAAGUUGGUACUCAAUUGUUGGGAUCUCUAAUAUUAUUGGACAUGAUUUAAUGAUCAAAUUCAAAUUUUGCACCGGUGGCCAUGAAUGAAAGAAUAUCAUGAAAGGUGUUAAGAUGCACAUGGAUAUUGGUAUUAGGGAUUAUGUUUAGGAUAUCAAUUAUUCAUACAGAUUUACUCUACAAAAAAUCAUUCCAAAUUUCAUAAUUAUUUUCCCUCUUACUUAUUUCCGAAGUUAUUUUCUUCCUCUUCCUAACGUUUCUCUAAUUCUGAAUCCCUUAACGAUGAGGGGAAAAAGAUUAAGAAAGUCAAACUGAUUAAAGCUAAAUAAAUAAAUAUUAGAAUCCAAAUUUUCCGUGCCCAAAUUCCGUUGAAUAUGAAAUAUAUAAAAUUAGCAAAUUGACUACAUCAAAAAAUUAAAAAAAUCAAAAUUCAUCAUGUAAAAAUCUUAUUUAACUCCUAAUUUCAUUACAAAAUCGUUCACAAGUUAAUUGAUAUCAGUAUUAGGUGAUCAAAGCUCAAGCAUUUUUAAUAAGCAAAGCUCAAAAGAAUUUCAUAAGAAAUCACUUACCAAUGAAAAUCAAUGCAGAGAAACAAUUGAGCUAUUUUCCUAGAGGGUAUAACGAUGAUGACAAUGAGUAGAAUCACUUAAUUAACGUAUUGAAAUAGCAACUUAGUUCAGAUCUACAAUGCCACUUGCUAUAUGAAAACGUAUAUAAUCAUAAUUAAUUAGCGAAAUGUCAAGUUCUAUUUUGACUGUCUUGCUUGGGUCAGGGUUUCUGUAUUCUACCAUUUUGGCAAGAUAUUGGAUGGCAUAAUCAAGUCUGUGAUGCCUCCAUCUCAGGUUAGUGUAAUUAUCGGUGAAGAUUAUAAUACAUAUUCAAUUAUAACAAACGAUUAUUAAAUUACUCCCAUCGAAAGGAUUAGGUUUGUCAUUAUUGACAAUUAAAUUAACAAGAUUCUCAUUUUCUCUCACCGCAUGCAUUGCAAGUUGAAAAGAACAUUGACUUGAGAAAAUACUCUGAUGAUUAAAUUACUCCCAAUAAUCAGAAUGGAAGCAGAGUAUUGAUAUUGGUCACUGAUCCACACCUCCUUACGCUGUCGGAAAUGGAAAACGGAGAGAAGAUUCGGCUUGAUUCAGUGAAAGAUGUUAAGAAAAGAACAAAUGUUCAUCAAUUUAGACAAUAUAAUCAAACAACUAAAAUUUUUUUAGUGAAAUUUCUAUUUAUAAUACCUCUACUAACAAAAUAUCUACUUAAAUAAGUUCUACUAAGCUAUAUUAUUAUGAACCGUAUCGAUUAAAGCAAAUACCAUUGACUUGAGAAAGCACUUUUUGUGUUUCUUUAUAAGUGUGAACAUGUACCAAACAAACUCUUUAUAAAACCAAAAAAGUCUCUUGUUCUGUGUUGGAGUUACCUUUUCACUUGAAAGUCUGCUGCAUUUAUUUGUGUGUUUUCCCUCCAAGUAUUGAGAUAUCUACUAGGCAAUUAUAUCAGUUGUGGGAAGCUGAAGGCUUCAUACCAUACAACAGUGAGGAAACUGCCGAACAUCACUUAAAAGAACUAAUCCAUCGCGGCUUCAUUCAAGUGAGUAAGAGAAGCGCCGGAGGCACGAUUAAAGCGUGUUAUGUUCCAAGUUUUGUAUAUUAUUCAUUGGCUUUGGUGGCAGAGAAGACGGGAUUUGUCCGGACGCCUGACUUCGAAGAGGAAUCAAAUCACAGUUCAGAAAGCGAUCGUCUCGCUCGGAUAGAUUGCGAGAAUUUUUGUAAAAAGUUCAAAUACCUUCGGGUAUUGGACUUGGGUUCUGCAGUUCUCGACCAAUUUCCACCCGGAUUAGAAAAUUUAUUCCUUU